rnacentral:rRNA from 1 species
UACAGGGGGGGCAAGCGUUGUUCGGAAUUACUGGGCGUAAAGGGCUCGUAGGCGGCCAACUAAGUCACACGUGAAAUCCCCAGGCUUAACCUGGGAACGGCAUCCGAUACUGGAGGGCUUGAAUUCGGGAGAGGGAUGCAGAAUUCCAGGUGUAGCGGUGAAAUGCGUAGAUAUCUGGAGGAAUACCGGUGGCGAAGGCGGCAUCCUGGACCGAGAUUGACGCUGAGGAGCGAAAGCUAGGGGAGCAAACGGG